rnacentral:lncRNA from 1 species
CAUUUGCCCAGUAGUGGCAGUGGUCAAAGUAGGUUCUUUACUUCACUCUUAACAUGAAAUCAAAAUAUUUUUGAAAUCAGUCCUUGGGGUCCGGAGAAAACCCGGUUCUAAUAUUCCACAUGAACAGUCGCUUUACAAAGCCAGUCUUAUUUACCCAGUAGUGGGAGUGAUUGAAAUAGGUUCCUUAAUUCACUUUUAACAUGAAAUUAAAAUAUUUUUGAAAUCAGUCAAAGGAGACCCGAGAAAAAAACUGAUUCAAAUGUUCUCCUCAGAUAGUCACUUAACAAAGCCUUUGGCAUUUGCCCAGUAGUGGCAGUGGUCAAAGUAGGUUCUUUACUUCACUCUUAACAUGAAAUCAAAAUAUUUUUGAAAUCAGUCCUUGGGGUCCGGAGAAAACCCGGUUCUAAUAUUCCACAUGAACAGUCGCUUUACAAAGCCUGUCUUAUUUACCCAGUAGUGGGAGUGAUUGAAAUAGGUUCCUUAAUUCACUUUUAACAUGAAAUUAAAAUAUUUUUGAAAUCAGUCAAAGGAGACCCGAGAAAAAAACUGAUUCAAAUGUUCUCCUCAGAUAGUCACUUAACAAAGCCUUUGGCAUUUGCCCAGUAGUGGCAGUGGUCAAAGUAGGUUCUUUACUUCACUCUUAACAUGAAAUCAAAAUAUUUUUGAAAUCAGUCCUUGGGGUCCGGAGAAAACCCGGUUCUAAUAUUCCACAUGAACAGUCGCUUUACAAAGCCAGUCUUAUUUACCCAGUAGUGGGAGUGAUUGAAAUAGGUUCCUUAAUUCACUUUUAACAUGAAAUUAAAAUAUUUUUGAAAUCAGUCAAAGGAGACCCGAGAAAAAAACUGAUUCAAAUGUUCUCCUCAGAUAGUCACUUAACAAAGCCUUUGGCAUUUGCCCAGUAGUGGGAGUGGUCAAAGUAGGUUCUUUACUUCACUCUUAACAUGAAAUCAAAAUAUUUUUGAAAUCAGUCCUUGGGGUCCGGAGAAAACCCGGUUCUAAUAUUCCACAUGAACAGUCGCUUUACAAAGCCUGUCUUAUUUACC